rnacentral:rRNA from 1 species
AGAGUUUGAUCCUGGCUCAGAUUGAACGCUGGCGGUAGGCCUAACACAUGCAAGUCGAACGGUAACGGACCGCUGGGAUUCCUUCGGGAUGACCUUGGUGCCGACGAGUGGCGGACGGGUGAGUAACACGUAGGAAUCUGCCCAACAGAGGGGGACAACCCGGAGAAAUCCGGGCUAAUACCGCAUACGCCCUAUUGGGGAAAGCGGGGGAUCUUCGGACCUCGCGCUGUUGGAGGAGCCUGCGUCGGAUUAGCUUGUUGGUGAGGUAAUGGCUCACCAAGGCUACGAUCCGUAGCUGGUCUGAGAGGAUGAUCAGCCACACUGGGACUGAGACACGGCCCAGACUCCUACGGGAGGCAGCAGUGGGGAAUAUUGCACAAUGGGCGAAAGCCUGAUGCAGCCAUACCGCGUGUGUGAAGAAGGCCUUCGGGUUGUAAAGCACUUUCGUUAGGGAAGA